rnacentral:lncRNA from 1 species
AAAAUACCAUCUGGGAGUUCCCGUCAUGGUGCAGGGGUUAACGAAUCCGACUAGGAACCAUGAGGUUCAGGCAUUCUUAAUAGUCUGAGAAUUAGAAUUAAACCUCAUGUUUGCUGUUUUUAUCAAAGAGAAAAUGUUCUUCCUUCAUUUGUUGAUUCUUCUUUGGUAGGUUUCAGGUUGGGGAAGAGUCAUCAAAGUUUUAAUUCAUCAUUUUGUUGUUGUUGUGAGUUUCCAACAAAACUCACUGGCAUUUACAAAGAUCAUUUUAACUCUGUAGUGAAGGACGAGGGGAGAAUAUUGGAAGAGAAUAGAUAAGAGAUCAAGAGGAAGACAGAAAGGCCUGGGGUUGGGCUGUACCAGGUCAAUUCAGAUGGCCAAUAGAGGCUGGAAAGGAAGAAAUUUGGAAAUGAGUAAAGUGCCAGGCAAACACACAUGCUAUGAGCUAUUCCUAGACAGGAAAAGUUUACCUCAUUCAUCUUUGUAUUUCAAGAGCCUAGUGCUGGUCUGCAUUCAUUUGGCAUUUAAUGCUUGUUGAACAGACCUGCAUUAGUUGUUGGGAUGAGAAAGAACUGAGAAUGACAGAUGUAGUGCAAGCCUCUCAAAAGAGAGGUUGAUAAUAAGGUGAGAAACUCUACUAAGAAGUAGAGAUGAAAAAGUGCUUUGCUAAGUAGUUGAUGUACAUAGGACCCAAAAGGUAAUUUCAGCAUAAAUAGCAGGAUUUAGUCAGAACCCAUCUCAAAUUAACAUAAUUCAUCAAAAUUUUAUAUCUAUAAAAUAAAUCUGAGAUUUUAAGAAUGGAUAAUUUCCUGUAAAAAAUCCCUAACUCCAGAGUUAUCGUCUGUAAGAUAUUUUUCUUAAAAUUUGUAAAAAUAAAUAUGAAUAAAUGUAAGAAAAAUUUAUUUACAGAAUAUUGAUUACUAUAAAAGAUUACUGCUAAACUAUUUCCCCUCUUUUGAAGAGCCCUGAUAAUAAAAGCAGGAAACUGAUACACAUCUUAUGUAGAUUUUAUGUGAGUACAUUUCUUGUGAACCAUUGAUUCACAUCCCUUUCUGAGCCACCCCGUCCCCCAAACACUGGCACAUGGCAACCUCUGGAACUGUAGUUUUGUCUUUUCUAGAAUUUCACAUAAAUUCUAGUCUUUGGGUUUGGUUCCUUUCCCUUUGAGUCAUGCCUUUGAAAUUCCUGCCUGUUGUGUUUAUCUGUGUUGUGUGUCUCUCUUCAUCUGUUAUUUCUUCUUGUACACAUACCAUGAUUGUGGAUCCUAGAUUUUGUUUGAUAAAAGAUAAUAUCUUCAAAUAAUUUAUUUCUUCCUGAUAUUCAUGCUUUUAACAUCUAUAUAUCUCUUCUGACUGUGAUUAGAGGGCAUUCCUGACUUGUUUUUAAAUUCUGGGAAAUAGUAUUUUCAGUAGAUUUUUGGUAAGUGCUAUUUUGGAGGUGAAAGAGAUUACUCCUAGCCCUAGAGUGCACAGCUUUUCUUUUUUAUAAAUAAAUACUAAAUUUUAUCAAAUAUUUUUCUAUGCCUAUUGAGAACAUCACAUGAAUUUUAGCUUUAGUUUCUUCAUAGAAGAUCAUUUACUGAUAUUUAUUAUUAAGCUAUCCUUAACAUUUCUGGGAUAAGUAUAAUUAGGUUAUGAUGAUGCUUUUUGUACUGUUGUUU